rnacentral:rRNA from 1 species
ACUUUCAACAACGGAUCUCUUGGCUUUCGCAUCGAUGAAGAACGCCGCGAAAGUGCGAAACGUAAUGUGAAUUGCAGAAUUCAGUGAAUCAUCAGAAUUCUUCUGGAACCGCCAUUCCUKGCGYUCCCUUGSUAUUCCGAGGAGCAUGCMUGU